UGAUCCUUCCGUAGGGUGAACCUGCGGAGGGAUCAUUACACAAAUAUGAAGGCGGGCUGGAACCUCUCGGGGUUACAGCCUUGCUGAAUUAUUCACCCUUGUCUUUUGCGUACUUCUUGUUUCCUUGGUGGGUUCGCCCACCACUAGGACAAACAUAAACCUUUUGUAAUUGCAAUCAGCGUCAGUAACAAAUUAAUAAUUACAACUUUCAACAACGGAUCUCUUGGUUCUGGCAUCGAUGAAGAACGCAGCGAAAUGCGAUAAGUAGUGUGAAUUGCAGAAUUCAGUGAAUCAUCGAAUCUUUGAACGCACAUUGCGCCCUUUGGUAUUCCAAAGGGCAUGCCUGUUCGAGCGUCAUUUGUACCCUCAAGCUUUGCUUGGUGUUGGGCGUCUUGUCUCUAGCUUUGCUGGAGACUCGCCUUAAAGUAAUUGGCAGCCGGCCUACUGGUUUCGGAGCGCAGCACAAGUCGCACUCUCUAUCAGCAAAGGUCUAGCAUCCAUUAAGCCUUUUUUUCAACUUUGACCUCGGAUCAGGUAGGUGCCCAUCUC
rnacentral:rRNA from 1 species